rnacentral:rRNA from 2 species
UAUUACAAUGAAGAGUUUGAUCCUGGCUCAGGAUGAACGCUAGCUACAGGCUUAACACAUGCAAGUCGAGGGGCAGCAUGGUCUUAGCUUGCUAAGGCCGAUGGCGACCGGCGCACGG